rnacentral:rRNA from 1 species
GGGAAGUGCCGGCGUGCUUACACAUGCAAGUCGAACGAUGAACCACUUCGGUGGGGAUUAGUGGCGAACGGGUGAGUAACACGUGGGCAAUCUGCCCUGCACUCUGGGACAAGCCCUGGAAACGGGGUCUAAUACCGGAUACUGAUCCUCGCAGGCAUCUGCGAGGUUCGAAAGCUCCGGCGGUGCAGGAUGAGCCCGCGGCCUAUCAGCUAGUUGGUGAGGUAACGGCUCACCAAGGCGACGACGGGUAGCCGGCCUGAGAGGGCGACCGGCCACACUGGGACUGAGACACGGCCCAGACUCCUACGGGAGGCAGCCA